rnacentral:rRNA from 1 species
UUCUUGGAGAGUUUGAUCCUGGCUCAGGACGAACGCUGGCGGCGUGCCUAAUACAUGCAAGUCGAGCGAAUCAAUAGGAGCUUGCUCCUGUUGAUUAGCGGCGGACGGGUGAGUAACACGUGGGCAACCUGCCUGUAAGACUGGGAUAACACCGGGAAACCGGUGCUAAUACCGGAUAAUCCUUUUCCUCUCAUGAGGAAAAGCUGAAAGUCGGUUUCGGCUGACACUUACAGAUGGGCCCGCGGCGCAUUAGCUAGUUGGUGAGGUAACGGCUCACCAAGGCGACGAUGCGUAGCCGACCUGAGAGGGUGAUCGGCCACACUGGGACUGAGACACGGCCCAGACUCCUACGGGAGGCAGCAGUAGGGAAUCUUCCACAAUGGACGAAAGU